AUUGAACGCUGGCGGAAUGCUUUACACAUGCAAGUCGAACGGCAGCACGGACUUCGGUCUGGUGGCGAGUGGCGAACGGGUGAGUAAUGUAUCGGAACGUGCCCAGUCGUGGGGGAUAACGUAGUGAAAAUUACGCUAAUACCGCAUACGAUCUAUGGAUGAAAGCGGGGGAUCGCAAGACCUCGCGCGAUUGGAGUGGCCGAUAUCAGAUUAGGCAGUUGGUGGGGUAAAGGCCCACCAAGCCAACGAUCUGUAGCUGGUCUGAGAGGACGACCAGCCACACUGGAACUGAGACACGGUCCAGACUGCUACGGGAGGCAGCAGUGGGGAAUUUUGGACAAUAGGCGAAAGCCUGAUCCAGCCAUUCCGCGUGCAGGAUGAAGGCCCUCGGGUUGUAAACUGCUUUUGUACAGAGCGAAAAGGUUUCUACUAAUACUAGGAGCUCAUGACGGUACUGUAAGAAUAAGCACCGGCUAACUACGUGCCAGCCGCCGCCGUAA
rnacentral:rRNA from 1 species